rnacentral:lncRNA from 1 species
AUGAGAGAUCACAUUUCUGCUGCAUUCAUAUCUGCUAACCUCCCACUUCUUUUCCUUGGUGUAGGACUAGAGGGCCUGAGCUCUGCUCCAACAACUUUUUCCCAUUUAAAGUGUAAUGAUCUCAACUCUGGUCUGUUUUUAGAUGCUGAAGGACAGAGACUGAUGAGCACUAACAGCGAUGUGCAACGUGAACUGAUGACAGUGUGUCCAAGAGCUGUUCUGUAGUGGAGAAGGUAAGUUCAUACGUGUGGGCAGGGGGUGGACAACCAAGCCCUUAAUCUGUUCUGAUUUUUUUUUCUCUGACCCAGUCCUUAGAGUUUUAUGGACAGAUGUUGGACUGAUCAGACAGCUGCUGAAACCAUGAAGAAUUGGUGCAUAUUUUUAUUACUGGGGAGGAAAAGAGAGAUCUAAGAUUUUUAGCCUUUCCACGAUGUUCUCAGGUGCACUGUUGAAUUUUAAGGUGUUUCUGUAUGGAUCCAGAUUGCAGUAUGCUGUAAUUAUAUUUGUUGUCUUUUGAAACACAGACUCAGAUGCAAUUCAGUGUCAUUCUCUGUUCAUUUUCCCGAUUGAGAAUUACUGUCUCUGCAGUGCUUGUUGCUUGAAACUAUUUAGAUGCCAGUGUUUAUUUGUGUCUUACAAGUUCAGCUGAGUCCUCUUUGCUUUAUGGUGAGGGACUGCUGCUGGCUAUUAGCUGUGCUUUAACGACAAAUAUUCCUAUUUUCAUUCAAGUUCAGAUUGUGUUUGCUCUGAAACCCAAUGGAAUUGUUAGCUGUAUCUCAGUUCCCUGAUUUGGGUUGAUAGGACUUGCCUGUGAAUCUUGUUCUGACAGAUCAUCACCUCCCUCCCUGGACUCACAGAAUCACAGACUCCUUCCUUAGCUAACUUAUUAAAGAAUCCCAGGUAUGCUUUGCUAGGUAGAACCAUUUGUAGACAGCAGGGUUUUGUUGUUCAUGGGUGGUGGUGGGGGGAAUAUGUAGCAUGGAAACAUGAAAUCAUGAAAUCUGAAUCACUUUGAAUUUAAAAAUAAAAAUCUAGGAGUUACAGUAUCUUAAUGCCGU